rnacentral:rRNA from 1 species
GACAGAGGGUGCAAACGUUGUUCGGAAUUACUGGGCGUAAAGCGUGUGUAGGCGGCCGCGCAAGUCGGAUGUGAAAUCCCCGGGCUCAACCCGGGAAGUGCACCCGAAACUGCGAGGCUUGAGUACCGGAGAGGUUGGUGGAAUUCUCGGUGUAGAGGUGAAAUGCGUAGAUAUCGGGAGGAACACCUGUGGCGAAAGCGGCGCACUGGACCAUAACUGACGCUGAUGCGCGAAAGCUAGGGGAGCAAACAGG